GACGAACGCUGGCGGCGUGCUUAACACAUGCAAGUCGAACGGAAAGGCCCUGCUUUUGUGGGGUGCUCGAGUGGCGAACGGGUGAGUAACACGUGAGUAACCUGCCCUUGACUUUGGGAUAACUUCAGGAAACUGGGGCUAAUACCGGAUAGGAGCUCCUGCUGCAUGGCGGGGGUUGGAAAGUUUCGGCGGUUGGGGAUGGACUCGCGGCUUAUCAGCUUGUUGGUGGGGUAGUGGCUUACCAAGGCUUUGACGGGUAGCCGGCCUGAGAGGGUGACCGGCCACAUUGGGGAUGAGAGACGGCCCAGACACCUACGGGGGGGAGGCGUGGGGAAUAUUGCAAAUGGGCGGAAGCCUGAUGCAGCAACGCCGCGUGCGGGAUGACGGCCUUCGGGUUGUAAACCGCUUUCGCCUGUGACGAAGCGUGAGUGACGGUAAUGGGUAAAGAAGCACCGGCUAACUACGUG
rnacentral:rRNA from 1 species